GAGUUUGAUCCUGGCUCAGGACGAACGCUGGCGGUAUGCUUAACACAUGCAAGUCGAACGAGAAGGAAGAGCUUGCUCUUCCUGAAAGUGGCGAACGGGUGAGUAACGCGUGGGUAACCUACCCUUUGGAAAGGAAUAGCCUCGGGAAACUGGGAGUAAUGCCUUAUAAGAUACGUUUGUCGCAUGGCAUUUGUAUUAAACGCUCCGGCGCCAUAGGAUGGACCCGCGUCCCAUUAGCUAGUUGGUGAGAUAACAGCUCACCAAGGCCACGAUGGGUAACCGGUCUGAGAGGGCGAACGGUCACACUGGAACUGAGACACGGUCCAGACUCCUACGGGAGGCAGCAGUGGGGAAUAUUGCGCAAUGGGGGCAACCCUGACGCAGCAAUACCGCGUGAGUGAAGAAGGUUUUCGGAUCGUAAAGCUCUGUUAUUGGGGAAGAAAAAAAGACGGUACCCAAGAAGAAAGUUCCGGCUAACUACGUGCCAGCAGCCGCGGUAAUACGUAGGGAACAAGCGUUGUCCGGAUUUACUGGGCGUAAAGGGCACGCAGGCGGUUUUUUAAGUCAGAUGUGAAAGGCCACAGCUCAACUGUGGACAUGCAUUUGAAACUGAAAGACUUGAGUAUUGGAGAGGCAAGUGGAAUUCCUAGUGUAGCGGUGAAAUGCGUAGAUAUUAGGAGGAACACCGGUGGCGAAGGCGGCUUGCUGGA
rnacentral:rRNA from 1 species